rnacentral:rRNA from 1 species
AUUGAACGCUGGCGGCAGGCCUAACACAUGCAAGUCGAGCGAGCGGCGGACGGGUGAGUAAUGUAUGGGGACUGCCCGAUAGAGGGGGAUAACUACUGGAAAGGGUGGCUAAUACCGCAUACUAUCGGAUAACCCAUAUGGGAUUAGCUAGUAGGUGGGGUAAAGGCUCACCUAGGCGACGAUCUCUAGCUGGUCUGAGAGGAUGAUCAGCCACACUGGGCCUGAGACACGGCCCAGACUCCUACGGAGGCAGCAGUGGGGAAUAUUGCACAAUUGGCGCAAGCCUGAUGCAGCCAUGCCGCGUGUAUGAAGAAGGCCUUCGGGUUGUAAAGUACUUUCAGCGGGGAAGCGUUACCCGCAGAAUAAGCACCGGCUAACUCCGUGCCAGCCGCCGCGGUAAUUC